CAGGUCUUGACAUCCUCUGACAACCCUAGAGAUAGGGCGCUCCCCUUCGGGGGACAGAGUGACAGGUGGUGCAUGGUUGUCGUCAGCUCGUGUCGUGAGAUGUUGGGUUAAGUCCCGCAACGAGCGCAACCCUUGAUCUUAGUUGCCAGCAUUAAGUUGGGCACUCUAAGGUGACUGCCGGUGACAAACCGGAGGAAGGUGGGGAUGACGUCAAAUCAUCAUGCCCCUUAUGACCUGGGCUACACACGUGCUACAAUGGAUGGAACAAAGGGCAGCGAAGCCGCGAGGUGAAGCCAAUCCCAUAAAACCAUUCUCAGUUCGGAUUGCAGGCUGCAACUUGCCUGCAUGAAGCCGGAAUCGCUAGUAAUCGCGGAUCAGCAUGCCGCGGUGAAUACGUUCCC
rnacentral:rRNA from 1 species